CUAAUGUUCUUCCACGUGCGGACAUAUUCUUACGUAAGCGUGGUUGAGAAUACCAAUCCGUCGGCGAAGGGUUUUGUGGGUCAUGGAGGAGAAAGGUAAAUAAACGAAAAGCGCUAAGAUCAUCUGGACUCAGACGGUUACCGGAGGAAGGUGUGACACGCUAGAUGCGGCAGCUUUUGUAACAUCAGACUGAGAGGACAGACGGUGGGUUCGGCUACAGCAGCAGCUGUCGGCGCUUUCAGGUGGUUUUCUGAUUGAGUUUGCCUCAUCACUGUGUUGCCAUGGCCAUGCGGGAGUUGGUGGAAGCAGAAUGUGGGGGAGCCAAUCCCCUCAUGAAGUUGACCGGUCACAUGACGAAGGAAGGGGGAGCAUGGCGGCACCUUUCAACACCUACAAUUCCCCCAACUCC